GCGCGCUCGCGGAAGCGGCAACAUUUAUAAAUCCAAUUUCAAAGUCAGCUGUUGCUUCGGUUGCUUUGGCGGUGCGCGCCGUUUCCGCACCGCCGCCACAUUUGCAUUCAUAGUGAUGCGCGCCACUCGCCGCCACAUGUGCAUCACGCGCAUUGUUGACAAGGCCAUUCACAAUUGCGGUCUAAUUAUUUCGACACAGGGCGUGCGCCAACGCUAAACUACACAAUACUAACCUAACAAAUUUAAUUUCCGUAUAGUGUGCUGUGGAGGCGGCGAAGCGAUAGAUUCACGCUCGCUUCACCUAGUUUACUAAUAGCUAUCGGAAGCGUUAACAUAUUGUAACGUGAAGCAUGUCGGGGCAACGCAACGCGCGCAUAUAUAAUUGGAACAUCGAGUGCCGAUAAUGAUGGGCCUUCGACAUGUUACCGUACGCAUGUAUUGUCUCCGUAUCGAUGUUGGCAUUGAGAUGCGACGCGACGAGAUAACUCCGGAUAGAAACUUCACACAUAUCGAGACGACACUUCUAUAAAUUUUUUUCUUUCACUUAAAAACUAGUAUAUUUUAGUUCAGUGGGAAAAUAUAAACAUUUUGUGAA